GUGACAGUACAAUCUGGCCAGACUUGGACCCAGCCGGCGUCCUACAUCUGUUUAAGGUCAGUAGUAGAUUUUGUAUUUGUGAGCGUGGACAACGCACAGUUGCGAUGGUUUUUACCUGCUCGAGUCUGCCGGAGGACCUCCGCUGGUGCUUCGAGGAGCUCGCAAAGGGUAAUGCGGAAGCCCCCAGUCUGAAGGUCCGGCUCCGCAUCAUAAAGCAGGCUAUUGGUAUCCUGGAGGAGGAAUUCUGGUGGCUUGACUACCCGGGAGUGCAGACGCUCUUUGAGAGGCUCCAGGCAGUGCGGAGGGAGUUGGCACGCGUCUCAUCAGCUGCUCCCGCUUCGCCGGCGAAAAUUCCUGUCGCCGCUUUGUCAGAUCAAGCGCACGUUCCUGUUGCCAUUCAGUCUGGUCCUGUUCCUGUCACCGUUCUGUCAGAUCCAACUCACGAUUCUGUCGCCGCCUUGUCAGAUCAAGCUCACGUUUCUGUUGCCGCUCAGUCUGGUCCUGUUCACAUUCCUGUUGCCGGUCAGUCUGGUCCUGUUCACGUUCCUGUUGCCGCUCCGGCAGUUCAGUUGGAUCCCGUUUGUGCCUUGGCCCCAUCUUCUGCGUCAGUCACAGCGGGUGAGGAGAUGGAAUCCACAUCGGGUCGGCGGCGGCCCAGACAGCGUCGACGAAAGCCGGUUCCCCCUGUCCAGGCUCCAGGGGACUCAUCCACUGAGAUCAAGCAACCCUCUCCUUCAGCAGAGGGCCUCCUCGCUCCACCAGACGACAUCCCCACCUCCAUCGCAGGCAUCCCAGACAGCACCUUCCAGCGGAUUCGUGCUCAAUGUGCCCCUCCAGUCUUGUUCCUGUUUGCCCAUUACCUGAACUCUGCUGAGGCAGCGACCGACCCAGUCACCAAGGAGCAUCACUUCCGUGAAGCAGCCGCGCUCAUCACUAGAAAGCCUGCACUGCGCGAGGCCCUGGGUUUCACUGAACCACCAUCAGAGCCUGCACUGGUUCCUGCAUCUCAGCCCGCACUGGUUCCUGCGUCUCAGCCCGCACUGGUUCCUGCGUCUCAGCCUGCAUCAGCUCCUGCGUCUCAGCCUACAUCAGCUCCUGCGUCUCAGGCUGCAUCAGCUCCUGCAUCUCAGGCUGCAUCAGCCCCUGCGUCUCAGGCUGCAGCAACUCCUGCGUCUCAGGCUGCAGCAACUCCAGCUCAACCACGUCAAGCUCAAGCCUCAGCUCAGCCACGUCAAGCUCAAGCUCAAGCCUCAGCUCAGCCACGUCAAGCUCAAGCUCAAGCCUCAGCUCAGCCACGUCAAGCUCAAGCCUCAGCUCAACCACGUCACGCUCAAGCUCAAGCCUCAGCUCAGCCACUUCACGCUCACGCUUCAGCUCAGCCACAUCACGCUCAAGCUCCAGCUCAGUCGCAUCACGCUCAAACUCCAGCUUUACGCCAGCUAGUGGACACCUCUUGCUAGCGAAACCAGGCCUCAGUCCUUGUCGACCUCCCUGUAGAGGUCGUUCCAGUCCCUGUCGACUUCCCUGUAGAGGUCGUCCCAGUCCCUGUCGACCUCCCUGUAGAGGUCGUUCCAGUCCCUGUCGACC
rnacentral:lncRNA from 1 species